rnacentral:lncRNA from 1 species
ACCAGCCCUGCAGGAACGCUAUGGGAAAGAAGCCGGGAAGUUCUCAGCUGUCAGUGAGGGCCAGGGGGAUCCCCCAGGGGGCCCGGCCCCCACCGUCCUGGCCCCCAUGCCGUUGGCAGAGGUGGAGCUGAAAUGGGAAAUGGAGAAAGAGGAGAAGAGAUUGCUCUGGGAACAGCUGCAAGGCUUAGAGAGCUCAAAGCAGGCCGAAACAUCCAGGCUGCAGGAGGAACUUGCUAAGGUG